rnacentral:rRNA from 1 species
UACGUAGGGUGCGAGCGUUAAUCGGAAUUACUGGGCGUAAAGCGUGCGCAGGCGGUUCGUUAAGUUCGUUGUGAAAGCCCCGGGCUCAACCUGGGAACGGCAAUGGAAACUGGCGGACUCGAGUGUGGCAGAGGGGGGUGGAAUUCCACGUGUAGCAGUGAAAUGCGUAGAGAUGUGGAGGAACACCGAUGGCGAAGGCAGCCCCCUGGGUCAAGAUUGACGCUCAUGCACGAAAGCGUGGGGAGCAAACAGG